rnacentral:rRNA from 1 species
CGGUAAUACGUAGNUCCCGAGCGUUGUCCGGAUUUAUUGGGCGUAAAGGGAGCGCAGGCGGUCAGGAAAGUNUGGAGUAAAAGGCUAUGGCUCAACCAUAGUGUGCUCUGGAAACUGUNUGACUUGAGUGCAGAAGGGGAGAGUGGAAUUCCAUGUGUAGCGGUGAAAUGCGUAGAUAUAUGGAGGAACNCCAGUGGCGAAAGCGGCUCUCUGGUCUGUCACUGACGCUGAGGCUCGAAAGCGUGGGUAGCGAACAGGAUUAGAUACCCUGGUAGUNCACGCCGUAAACGAUGAGUGCUAGGUGUUAGGCCCUUUCCGGGGCUUAGUGCCGGAGCUAACGCAAUAAGCACUCCGCCUGGGGAGUACGACCGCAAGGUUGAAACUCAAAGGAAUUGACGGGGGCCCGCACAAGCGGUGGAGCAUGUGGUUUAAUUCGAAGCAACGCGAAGAACCUUACCAGGUCUUGUCAUCCCGAUGCUAUUCUUAGAGAUAGGAAGUUACUUCGGUACAUCGGAGACAGGUGGUGCAUGGUUGUCGUCAGCUCGUGUCGUGAGAUGUUGGGUUAAGUCCCGCAACGAGCGCAACCCUUAUUGUUAGUUGCCAUCAUUAAGUUGGGCACUCUAGCGAGACUGCCGGUAAUAAACCGGAGGAAGGUGGGGAUGACGUCAAAUCAUCAUGCCCCUUAUGACCUGGGCUACACACGUGCUACAAUGGUCGGUACAACGAGUUGCGAGCCGGUGACGGCAAGCUAAUCUCUGAAAGCCGAUCUCAGUUCGGAUUGGAGGCUGCAACUCGCCUCCAUGAAGUCGGAAUCGCUAGUAAUCGCGGAUCAGCACGCCGCGGUGAAUACGUUCCCGGGCCUUGUACACACCGCCCGUCACACCACGAGAGUUUGUAACACCCGAAGUCGGUGAGGUAACC